rnacentral:rRNA from 1 species
UACGUAGGGUGCAAGCGUUGUCCGGAAUUAUUGGGCGUAAAGAGCUCGUAGGCGGUUUGUCGCGUCUGCUGUGAAAACUCAGGGCUUAACCCUGAGCCUGCAGUGGGUACGGGCAGACUAGAGUGUGGUAGGGGAGAUCGGAAUUCCUGGUGUAGCGGUGGAAUGCGCAGGAUAUCAGGAGGAACACCGGUGGCGAAGGCGGAUCUCCUGGGCCAAGUAACUGACGCUGGAGGAGCGAAAAGCAUGGGGAGCGAACAG